rnacentral:rRNA from 1 species
GGGGGUGCGGAAGGAUCAUUA